UACGUAGGCGGAAAAUUAAGUCAGUAGUGAAAUCCUGCAGCUUAACUGUAGAACUGUUAUUGAUACUGGUUUUCUUGAAUAUAGUUGAGGUAGGCGGAAUGUGUAAUGUAGCGGUGAAAUGCUUAGGUAUUACACAGAACACCGAUUGCGAAGGCAGCUUACUAAGCUAUGAUUGACGCUGAGGUACGAAAGCGUGGGGAGCGAACA
rnacentral:rRNA from 1 species